UUGCCGUUAAAAAGCUCGUAGUCGAACUUCGGCGCCUGCCGGCCGGUCCGCCUUCUUGGUGUGUACUUGCUUCGGCGGGCGCUUACCUCCUGGUGAACUCUGAUGUCCUUUACUGGGUGUCAGAGCGAACCAGGACGUUUACUUUGAAAAAAUUAGAGUGUUCAAAGCAGGCCUACGCCCGAAUACAUUAGCAUGGAAUAAUAGAAUAGGA
rnacentral:rRNA from 16 species